rnacentral:tRNA from 1 species
GCAUUGGUGGUUCAGUGGUAGGAUUCUCACCUUCCACGCAGGAGACCAGAGUUCAAUUCCUGGCCACUGCA